UACGUAGGUGGCAAGCGUUGUCCGGAUUUAUUGGGUUUAAAGGGUGCGUAGGCGGCCCUGUAAGUCAGUGCCGAAAUAUCCCAGCUUAACUGGGGAGGGUGGCAUUGAUACUGCGGGGCUAGAGUACAGAUGAGGUAGGCGGAUUGACGGUGUAGCGGUGAAAUGCUUAGAUAUCGUCAAGAACACCUAUAGCGAAGGCAGCUUACUAGGCUGUAACUGACGCUGAGGCACGAAAGUGUGGGGAUCAAACAGG
rnacentral:rRNA from 1 species